GGGUUCGAGGCCACCCUGG
rnacentral:misc_RNA from 1 species